UUUUGUAUUUUCAGUAGAGAUGGGGUUUCACCUUGUUAGCCAGGAUGGUCUUGAUCUCCUGACCUCCUGAUCCACCUGCCUCAGCCUUCCAAAGUGCUGGGAUUACAGGCAUGAGCCACCGCGCCUGGCCUAAUAGCUUUGUUUUAUUUCAUGGAUUCUAUGCUAGAAUUUAUCAUUUAAUAGGAUUUUUCUUAAGUCAUCUUAAACUAACCCCUUUUGCAAAUUUUUCAUGUUAAUUACAGCAAUACUUCGAAAUUUUGUUUUCUGUUGGAUAUUCUUGCUAAAAAUUAUUAUUUGUUGUACAUAAAAUUAUGUGAUUUAGAAAACAUUGCCUCAUGGAGAUAAAUUACUUUCUUUUCCAGAGAUUCCAGACAUUCUAAAUGCAAGUAAUCUGAAAACAUUUAGGGAAUGGGACUUUGAUCUGAAGAAAUUACCAAACAUUAAAAUGAGAAAAAUUUGCGCUAAUGAUGCAAUUCCCAAGACGUGCAAGAGGAAAACUAUUAUAACUGUAGACCAAGAUUUGGGGGAAUUGGAACUAAACGAUGAAUCAAGUGAUUCAGAUGAGGAAAUGACUGCAGUGGCCUAAUUGUCUUCACUUGAAUUGAAAAUAAAUAAUUUGAGAGCUUCAAA
rnacentral:lncRNA from 10 species